rnacentral:rRNA from 1 species
UACGUAGGGUGCAAGCGUUAAUCGGAAUUACUGGGCGUAAAGCGUGCGCAGGCGGUUAUGUAAGACAGGGGUGAAAUCCCAGGGCUUAACCUUGGAACUGCAUUUGUGACUGCAUAGCUAGAGUACGGUAGAGGGGGAUGGAAUUCCGCGUGUAGCAGUGAAAUGCGUAGAUAUGCGGAGGAACACCGAUGGCGAAGGCGGCUUCCUGGACCGACACUGACGCUGAGGCGCGAAAGCUAGGGGAGCAAACGGG